rnacentral:rRNA from 1 species
CGAACGCUGGCGGCAUGCCUAACACAUGCAAGUCGAACGAGACCUUCGGGUCUAGUGGCGCACGGGUGCGUAACACGUGGGAAUCUGCCCUUUGCUUCGGAAUAACAGUUAGAAAUGACUGCUAAUACCGGAUGAUGUCGAAAGACCAAAGAUUUAUCGGCAAAGGAUGAGCCCGCGUAGGAUUAGGUAGUUGGUGGGGUAAAGGCUCACCAAGCCGACGAUCCUUAGCUGGUCUGAGAGGAUGAUCAGCCACACUGGGACUGAGACACGGCCCAGACUCCUACGGGAGGCAGCAGUGGGGAAUCUUAGACAAUGGGGGAAACCCUGAUCUAGCCAUGCCGCGUGAUCGAUGAAGGCCUUAGGGUUGUAAAGAUCUUUCAGUGGGGAAGAUAAUGACGGUACCACAGAAGAAGCCCCGGCUAACUCCGUGCCAGCAGCCGCGGUAAUC